UACGUAGGGUGCAGGCGUUAAUCGGAAUUACUGGGCGUAAAGCGUGCGCAGGCGGUUUGCUAAGACAGGUGUGAAAUCCCCGGGCUUAACCUGGGAACUGCGCUUGUUACUGGCAGGCUUGAGUGUGGCAGAGGGGGGUGGAAUUCCACGUGUAGCAGUGAAAUGCGUAGAGAUGUGGAGGAACACCGAUGGCGAAGGCAGCUCGCUGGGACGUUACUGACGCUGAGACGCGAAAGCGUGGGGAGCAAACAGG
rnacentral:rRNA from 1 species